GGUUCUCUACGCCUAGGCGGGAGCUCCCGGAGGCGGAGACAGCGGGCGGGGGCCUAGCGAGUGAGGGGUAACAAGAUGGCGGCGGAGACGGUGGAGCUCCAUAAGCUGAAGCUUGCUGAACUAAAGCAGGAAUGUCUUGCUCGUGGUUUGGAGACCAAGGGAAUAAAACAAGAUCUUAUCAACAGGCUCCAGGCAUAUCUUGAGGAGCACGCUGAAGAGGAGGCGAAUGAAGAAGAUGUACUGGGAGAUGAAACAGAGGAAGAAGAACCAAAGCCCAUAGAACUUCCUGUCAAAGAGGAAGAACCCCCUGAAAAAACUGUUGAUGUGGCAGCAGAGAAGAAAGUGGUAAAAAUUACAUCUGAAAUACCACAGACUGAGAGAAUGCAGAAGAGGGCUGAACGAUUCAAUGUACCUGUGAGCUUGGAGAGUAAAAAAGCUGCAAGGGCAGCUAGAUUUGGGAUUUCUUCAGUUCCAACAAAAGAGACAGAGUCUCACUUUAUAGCCCUCGGUAGAGUGCCGUGGCCUCACACAGCUCACAGCAACCUCCAACUCCUGGGCUCAGGCGAUUCUCCUGCCUCAGCCUCCCAAGUAGCUGGGACCACAGGCACCCACCACAACGCCUGGCUAUUUUUUAGUUGCAGUUUGGCCGGGGCCGGGCCUGAACCCGCCACCCUCGGUCUGUCAUCUGAAACCAAUAUGGUUAACCUGGAUAAGCUAAAGGAAAGAGCCCAAAGAUUUGGUUUGAAUGUCUCUUCAAUCUCCAGAAAGUCGGAAGAUGAUGAGAAACUGAAAAAGAGGAAGGAACGAUUUGGGAUUGUCACAAGUUCAGCAGGAACUGGAACCACAGAGGAUACAGAGGCAAAGAAGAGGAAAAGAGCAGAACGCUUUGGGAUUGCCUGAUGAAAAAUUCUUGAUGUUUUCUGUUCUCCAGUGGUUUCAAUUUCUCCGAUUCUUCCUAGUCACAUAUAUCUAAAUGCACAGUCAUGUGCCUACAUCUUGCCUCGCAUUGAGGAAGCAUGUACCCCAGGUUCAAGUGCUGGAUUGUGUCAUGUGACCAUCCCAAAACUCAGAGCACCCUAUGGCCAUCUUUGCCCUCUGUCACAUAACUUGAAAACUGCCUGAUGGCCUUUUGCAAUGGUUCCCUCCAGGAAGCCUUGAUCUCAGUGAAGAAGUCCUUUCCCGGCAUUCCAGUGCCCCUGUCAACCCCAUACUCCUCAGACAUCCUUAACAAACAAAGGCUAUCACGCACACAAUGUAACAAAUACACAAAGUAAAUAAUAAUUACACUAA